rnacentral:rRNA from 1 species
GAUGAACGCUAGCGGCAGGCUUAACACAUGCAAGUCGAGGGGUAACGAUGGUGCUUGCAUCAGGCGACGACCGGCGAACGGGUGCGUAACGCGUAUAGAAUCUGCCUUGUACAGGAGGAUAGCCUUUAGAAAUGAAGAUUAAUACUCCAUAAUGUUAUUUAGUGGCAUCAUUAAAUAAUUAAAGAUUUAUCGGUACAAGAUGACUAUGCGUCCUAUUAGUUAGUUGGUAAGGUAACGGCUUACCAAGGCGUCGAUAGGUAGGGGGUCUGAGAGGAUUAUCCCCCACACUGGUACUGAGACACGGACCAGACUCCUACGGGAGGCAGCAGUGAGGAAUAUUGGACAAUGGGCGCAAGCCUGAUCCAGCCAUGCCGCGUGCAGGAAGACCGCCCUAUGGGUUGUAAACUGCUUUUAUACAGGAAGAAACUGUAGUACGUGUACUACACUGACGGUACUGUAAGAAUAAGCACCGGCUAACUCCGUGCCAGCAGCCGCGGUAAUACGGAGGGUGCAAGCGUUAUCCGGAAUCAUUGGGUUUAAAGGGUCCGCAGGCGGUCGAUUAAGUCAGAGGUGAAAUCCCAUAGCUUAACCAUGGAACUGCCUUUGAUACUGGUUGACUUGAGUCAUAUGGAAGUAGAUAGAAUAAGUAGUGUAGCGGUGAAAUGCAUAGAUAUUACUUAGAAUACCGAUUGCGAAGGCAGUCUACUACGUAUGUACUGACGCUCAUGGACGAAAGCGUGGGGAGCGAACGGG